GUGAACGCUGGCGGUAGGCCUAACACAUGCAAGUCGAACGGCAGCACAGUAAGAGCUUGCUCUUACGGGUGGCGAGUGGCGGACGGGUGAGGAAUACAUCGGCAUCUACUUUUUCGUGGGGGAUAAUGUAGGGAAACUUACGCUAAUACCGCAUACGACCUACGGGUGAAAGCAGGGGAUCUUCGGACCUUGCGCGAUUGAAUGAGCCGAUGUCGGAUUAGCUAGUUGGCGGGGUAAAGGCCCACCAAGGCGACGAUCCGUAGCUGGUCUGAGAGGAUGAUCAGCCACACUGGAACUGAGACACGGUCCAGACGCCUACGGGAGGCGGCAGUGGGGAAUAUUGGACAAUGGGCGCAAGCCUGAUCCAGCCAUACCGCGUGGGUGAAGAAGGCCUUCGGGUUGUAAAGCCCUUUUGUUGGGAAAGAAAAGCAGCAGGUUAAUACCCCGCUGUUCUGACGGUACCCAAAGAAUAAGCACCGGCUAACUUCGUG
rnacentral:rRNA from 1 species